GCUGCUUGCAAGAUGCUAGCGUUGGCCUGCUGAUUCUUUACUGUGAAUGACGGGAUGAUGCAAGCCACGAGUUUUCUGUAGAGCUACUUGUGUAUUCUUCGAGGUGACGCCUUCAGUUGCUGGAAUAAUUCUUCUUCGCUCGAAGUCGAGCGGUUAAGGCCAGAUUUAUUUGUGAGAAUGUUUAGCCAUCCGUACCUCCGUCCCGCUAGAGUGUUCUGGGUUGCCGUGUGUUUGAAACCUCACUGAGACCUCACUGUACAUGUGCUUACUUGCAUGAAGAUAAUCGUUGUUGGUUUGUGUGUCAGUGUCACACACCUCUUGUG
rnacentral:sRNA from 1 species